rnacentral:tRNA from 1 species
GGAUCUGUAGCUCAGCUGGCUAGAGCGUUCGAUUCACAUUCGAAAGGUCACAGGUUCGAGUCCUGUCAGGUCCACCA